CCUACGGGUGGCUGCAGUGAGGAAUCUUCCACAAUGGGCGAAAGCCUGAUGGAGCAACGCCGCGUGAAGGAUGAAGGCCUUCGGGUUGUAAACUUCUUUUAUGAGUGAAGAAUAUGACGGUAACUCAUGAAUAAGCACCGGCUAACUACGUGCCAGCAGCCGCGGUCAUACGUAGGGUGCAAGCAUUAUCCGGAGUGACUGGGCGUAAAGAGUUGCGUAGGCGGUUUAAUAAGUGAAUAGUGAAACCUGGUGGCUCAACCAUACAGACUAUUAUUCAAACUGUUAAACUCGAGAAUGGUAGAGGUAACUGGAAUUUCUAGUGUAGGAGUGAAAUCCGUAGAUAUUAGAAGGAACACCGAUGGCGUAGGCAGGUUACUGGGCCAUUUCUGACGCUAAGGCACGAAAGCGUGGGGAGCGAACCGGAUUAGAUACCCCAGUAG
rnacentral:rRNA from 1 species